rnacentral:lncRNA from 1 species
UGUUUUGUAUCUAGGAGUCAAUAGGGCCAUAAUGAAGUAUUAAGUUAGAGUAAAAGGGGUGUCGGGCUGUGCCAGACCAGUCGUAAGGGACGAGGUUAGAGUCAAUAGGCAGUAAAUAGGAAUAAGAGUGAGUGUGAGAUAAGCAUGGGUGUAGAGGAGGUGUAGUGAAUAGGAAAGAAUGAGCAACAGAGUAUAGAAUAAAAUGUUGGAAAGGGAGUCUAAUUAAUUGUCAUACUUUAGUUUUAAAUUCUAAAUUGUUCUUAUUAGGUUAUGUAUACUCAUUAACUUCAUUUUCAGAUGUAGUGCAACAGGAAUCGGAACCAUAAUGCUUAGCCACGAGACUCCAUACUUAAGGAAGAUAGAAUAGUAGUAUUGAAAUUAAUAUGAAGUAUUACAAUUAACUGUGUUAAAACGAUAAUUAAUUCUCUUGUGUUCUCUUAUAUUCGUUAGAUUGAUUUUGGUUAAAUAUGGUAUAUCUCGUAAAAAAUUGUAUCUACCUUAUUACAAGAGUUUUUACAGCGUUAUUUGAAUUUUUCUCGAUACGAUAGUAUAAUAUAUUAUCAUCAUUCUGUAUGACAAAGAAGUGUAUGGCAUAUACUAGCAUUAAAAUUCAUUAUUUUAUGAGUGUAUGAUAAAUUAUUAG